CAGUAGCCACGGUAAUACGGAGGAUCCAAGCGUUAUCCGGAAUCAUUGGGUUUAAAGGGUCCGUAGGCGGUCUUGUAAGUCAGUGGUGAAAGCCCAUCGCUCAACGGUGGAACGGCCAUUGAUACUGCAGGACUUGAAUUAUUGGGAAGUAACUAGAAUAUGUAGUGUAGCGGUGAAAUGCUUAGAGAUUACAUGGAAUACCAAUUGCGAAGGCAGGUUACUACCAAUUGAUUGACGCUGAUGGACGAAAGCGUGGGUAGCGAACAGGAUUAGAUACCCGCGUAGUCCCUGUCUCUUAUAA
rnacentral:rRNA from 1 species